rnacentral:rRNA from 1 species
GAUGAACGCUGGCGGCGCGCCUAACACAUGCAAGUCGAACGGUUAGAGCACCUUUUAGGUGUGUAUAAAGUGGCGAACGGCUGAGUAACACGUGGGCAACCUGCCCUCCUCUUGGGGAUAGCCUCGGGAAACCGAGGAUAAUACCCGAUACUUCAAUGUGGCCGCAUGACGACAUUGAGAAAGCUUUUGCGGAGAAGGAUGGGCCCGCGGCCUGUUAGCUUGUUGGUGGGGUAGAGGCCUACCAAGGCAAUGAUGGGUAGCUGGGUUGAGAGACCGACCAGCCAGAUUGGGACUGAGACACGGCCCAGACUCCUACGGGAGGCAGCAGUGGGGAAUCUUGCACAAUGGGCGAAAGCCUGAUGCAGCGACGCCGCGUGCGGGACGAAGGCCUUCGGGUUGUAAACCGCUUUCAGCAGGGACGAGGCGAUAAGUGACGGUACCUGCAGAAGAAGCCCCGGCUAACUACGUG